rnacentral:rRNA from 1 species
AUUGAACGCUGGCGGCAGGCCUAACACAUGCAAGUCGAGCGGAUGAAGGGAGCUUGCUCCUGGAUUCAGCGGCGGACGGGUGAGUAAUGCCUAGGAAUCUGCCUGGUAGUGGGGGAUAACGUCCGGAAACGGGCGCUGAUACCGCAUACGUCCUGAGGGAGAAAGUGGGGGAUCUUCGGACCUCACGCUAUCAGAUGAGCCUAGGUCGGAUUAGCUAGUUGGUGGGGUAAAGGCCUACCAAGGCGACGAUCCGUAACUGGUCUGAGAGGAUGAUCAGUCACACUGGAACUGAGACACGGUCCAGACUCCUACGGGAGGCAGCAGUGGGGAAUAUUGGACAAUGGGCGAAAGCCUGAUCCAGCCAUGCCGCGUGUGUGAAGAAGGUCUUCGGAUUGUAAAGCACUUUAAGUUGGGAGGAAGGGCAGUAAGUUAAUACCUUGCUGUUUUGACGUUACCAACAGAAUAAUCACCGGCUAACUCCGUG